AGUGAACGCUGGCGGUAGGCCUAACACAUGCAAGUCGAACGGCAGGACAGUAAGAUCGCGCUCUUACGGUUGGCGGGUGGCGGACGGGUGAGGAAUGCAUCGCAAUCUACUUUUUCGGGGGGAACAUCGGAGGGACACUGACGCUAAUACCUCAUACGAUCUACGGGUGAAAGCAAUGGAGCUUCGCACCUUGGGCGACUGAAUUAGACGCGGCCGGUUGAGAUAGGCUGGGAGGUAACGGCCCACCAAGGCAACGAUGCGUAGCGUACCUGAGAGGGUGAUCGGCCACACUGGAACUGAGACACGGUCCAGACUCCUACGGGAGGCAGCAGUAGGGAAUCUUCCGCAAUGGGCGAAAGCUUGACGGAGCAACGCCGCGUGAGUGAUGAAGGUCUUCGGAUCGUAAAACUCUUUUAUUGGGGAAGAACAAAUGUGUAAGUAACUCUGCACGUCUUGACGGUACCUAAUCAGAAAGCCACGGCUAACUACGUG
rnacentral:rRNA from 1 species